rnacentral:tRNA from 1 species
GGUUGUGUAGUGUAGCGGUUAUCACUCCGGAUUCUGACAAGCCAUUGUUUGAACAUUCCGGCAACCCCGGUUCGAUUCCGGGCACGACCU